CCCGGCUGGCCUCAGACGUCUAAGGCGAUAGGCGUUGCUAAGAAAAGUGGGUGGGACGAUACCCAGUUGCCAAGACGACGGCUUCCGGGUGGGCGGCUGGAGGUGGCUUCCGGCCGCAAGGCGAGACUCCGCGGGAAAACUCCCUGCUAGAGGGACUAGGAGAUUUGGGGCUGUGGCCGUUUCCUCCGGAGCAGCCACGGGACUGUGUGCUGGGUCACUCCACCGGCUGUGUCCUUUAUUCUUCUUUCUCACCCAACGAUUUACCUGAACGGUUAUAAAGUGCACGUUAUUUCCCUAAGACUACAUGCACCACAAAGACCAAGACUGUGUCCUCCAGUACAAGGGUAGAGGAAAUGAGACAAAAAAAUAAUUAUUGAGCAAGAUGAAAGAAGACCAUAAGAGGAUUAUAGAUAAAGUGCUAUGGAAGAUGAGAGGACAAACAGAUUUCAUCCAGCUGGGCGUGUUGCUGAAGGUCCUUCUUACUGAUGUGUUGCUCUUCUUCAUGGCUCGUGAAAACUAUUAAAGUCAUCCAAGCUUCUAGCAGAGAUGGAAUAAUAGAGACCAGAUGUACCCUCCCAGCUGAAACAACAAAAAAAUACAGAACAAAAUAUAUGAAAGAAUGGUUUUCAAGGUACUAGACAUCACACAGUGAAGGACAGUGAUCCCAGAGAGAUGAGAAACAAACAAGGGUGGGAAGAGAGAUCAGCAACAUUAACUGGGUGCCAAGAAAACAUACCAAGAUCGAAGCCAUCCACUUCUGCAGGAACACUGAAAAGAAAGACUGCCUAACACAAGGACAAAACUUUGAAGUAAAAAAAUGUGUCUUUUGGUAUAUGGAAUUGUCAUUAACAGUUGCCUCUGCUUGCAGAAGAAGCACGUAACAACCUGGGAAUCUUUCUUUUGUUUUUCUCUUUCUUUUAUUAAACUAAGUCUUGUUUGUCUUUUAUUAAACUAACUCGUUUGUUUAAAUCAGAAACAAAUUCUCAAGUAACAAGAACCCUUUCCCUUUUUUCUGCAUCAGCAGUGAAAGGGUGUGUCUUUGGAUUUUAUUUAAAGCAUGAAAUUUUUUUUUCUGAGAGAGGAAAGAAAAAACAAACACAAAACCAAAAACCAAAUCCCUAACCAAAAACUUUUCUAGAAAAGAAAAGUACACAGCCAAUUACACAAAUGGAAACAAAUCCUUGAGUAUAGAAAAAGAAUAUUUGAAGCUCCUACCAAACAAGGAGGAAAAGAAGGGGUACAAAGAAAAGCCAAAAGAAGGAUAAAUAAAAAAUAAAUGCACAAGGCUAACAGACACAGGUAACUAGAAUUAUAUGCCUUCAAAAAGUUUCAACUCCCCAACCAAAAAUAAUCUGUGAGGAUCCUAAUGACCCCUAGAAUCCCUUGAAAUUCUUUCUUUCUUUAGUUUUAUAAAAUAAUUCUGCAGCUCCCUCUAAGAAAUGAAGGCAGCUACCUUAAGUGGGAGAUUAUAGGACGGAAGGUGGGAGAAGGAAAGAGAAAGUGGAGUUAAGGGACAAAGGGGGAGAAAAGCUUAGGCGAAUCAACGGAUUGCAAUCUAUCUGCUAGGAAUGAACAAGACAACAUCAAAUGAGGAGCUGUCAGCUGGACCAUACAAAAAGCUAAAUGUACACAAAAGGUUUUUUUUUUUUUCCUUUUAAAUCUACCAUACUGCUUCAGUUCAUUUCCAAUGCAACAAUCUACUCAACACCAAAAAUGGUCAUAUCUAUCAUAAAUACAGAAAGUCAGUUUUUAAAACUUAUUUUUUUUUAAGCUACAAGUCCUCAACACUCUUUGUGUGUGUGGUUUAUUUUUUUUUUUCUGAAAGUUGGGAGUGCUUAACUUUUCCCCUUGAAAUUGGCUUCAGCAGAAAAGCUAUCCUUAAAAAUCCCCAGAAAGCUAAAGCAGUUCACAUUGUUUUUCUUGAAUACUUUCUGCGCAUUUUUAAAUUAACAAAACAAAAAAUCUUUUCUGGAACAAAAAAAAAAAACUGAAAAAAACAAUAAUAUAUAAAACAAUGAUUCUGAAAACAGAACAAAGUGUGAGCGAUUGACCUGAGAAUAAAAAGACAUUACAUUUCUUUCUUUUAGCAAGCCAUUGGUAUCUGAAUGCUAAGAUAGCAAGAAAUUUAAAACUGUAACAAGGUGGACUGCUUUCCCAUACAGUGCAUGCCGGGCUCCUCUGUGCUAUCAGCGUGGGGCGUUUAUUGAAAAGGGGCAAAUAUACAAGGGGUUUAAGCUCCAAAGACAUUAGGGAGGCCCUGUGGCCUUCUGUUUCCCAGACCAAUAGUACCUUCAAAAGGACACAAUGUAACAGGGUUAGGGCUUUUUUUUUUUUUUAGUAUUAAAAGAAAAAAAAAAAAGACAAGAAUGUAAAAUCACCGGCAUAGAUAGGUAUAUGGGAAAACAACCCACGCUUUUUCUUUUUUUUCCUUUUUUUUUUUUUUUUUUUUUUUGUUUUUUGGUUAGAAGCUUUGGAAUUGCAGUUAGUCUAUUUUUGAAAUUGGUUUGUUAUUAAUUUUUGUAUUUAAAUUCAUUUGUUUGUAUUGUUCAUCUUCAAAGCUUACAAUCUGAAGGUGUCCGUUCCUACACUGGUCAGACCACUGUCCUUGGGGCAGCUGGGGUCUUUGGGACCCUCCACCGGGCUCGCCGGUCCGUCGGACUUUUGGCUGAGAUCCGUGUCAGACUCCUCCGAAUAGUCGUCUGUUGGCAUCGAGGGCUGAACCCCUGAGGUGCUGCAUGAACUUGAGAGCGCGCUCUCGCACGCCAGGCAGUGGUACGAGCCGCCGCCGCCGCCGCCGCCACCGCCACUGCCGCCGCCGCCGCCGGUGGGGACGUGAAGCACCAUCUCUUGCAGGUUCACCACAGACUGGCCGAAGAAGCAGAGGGACUUCAGGUGGCUCCUCGCCGCCUCCUCGUCGCCGAAGCCCGCCUGGCACUUGCGGCAGACCAACUUGUACUGCACCUUUGGAACAAUGAAGGGGUCGUAGAGGGAGUCCGCACUUUUGCUUUCCGCUUCUGGCUCUUCAGGGGGUUUCGGCGGGAGGGGGGACACCUCACGGGGGGCGUUUUUCUGUUCUUCUGGUUUGGGGGAUUCUUUGGCAGGGUCUUUGUCUGGGGAAGCAGCCCCCGGGGGGACUGGGGUUUGGCUUGCUUUGGGCUGCUGCUGCACUUUUUGCUGCUGCUGCUGCUGUAGUUGCCGCUGCUGCUGCUGCUGCUGAAUUGCCUCCUGCAGACUCUGCUGGUAUUGCUGGUACUGCUGCAGUAGGGAGCCUGGGGACAGCCCCAUCAGGGCCUGCGACAGUGCAGGGCUGUAGGGGAACAGGCCUUCCAUGCCAUACAUAGGCUGCAGGUACCCGCUCUGCAGGGCGCCAGGGAUCUGGGGAGCAUAAUAAGGAGAAAAGCCUGGUACAAAGUAAGGAAGGAACUGGCUCGUGAGCAAUGCUGUGGGGUCCGAAGUCAACGCGGCCUGCAGGGCCUGCAGCUGUGCAGGGUCCACCGCAUACUCCAUGGUGGGCAGCGGGGCUGAGAUCGUGGCUGCAGUUGCCGUGGGGGCCUCUCCUUUCUCCUUCUUGGGGACAGGCAGGGGUUCCCCUUUCCCUUUGUGUGCCUUUUCCUUCUCCUUUACUUUCUCACUGUCUUUGUCCUUGCGUUGCUGCUGCUGUUGCGGUGGGAGCUGUGGUGUGGGUGGCGGCUGGGCUGCUGGCGGCGGGGGAGGCUGCUGCACCUGUGGCUGCUGCUGCUGCUGGGGGGGUUGCUGAGGGGCCAUCGCCAUGGUGGCUUGUGCUGGGGUUGGGGAGCUCAGUGACGCUGAGGACGGUUUAUUUGGUAAUCCAGAUGUGGGGAGGCCAGGGGAAGGAACAGUUGUGCUGGGCAGACCCAUCAAGUUCGGCUUAGGAGACGUUAAAGCUGAAAGGAAUGGAGACAGAGAAAUCACCGGUCAGUCUGGGCAGGGGUAGGGCUGAAGCUCAAGACGUUUUACUAGUGUCACUGGCACACAGUCUGAGAUGUCAAGGCUUGAAGGAUCCUCUCAAAAUGAACAUUUCCAGCAGAAGUAUCCCACCAGGCUCAGGGCUGGACAACCUUGUAUUUUAAUGAGGACUCAGUCCUGGGUCAGCUGCCAUACUUCCCCUUUCAGCCAAACAACUUCCAACACCUUCCUGCCCAAUGUACCACACCCGCUAGUUCACAUUUUCUUUGCCAAGUACUCCCAGCUACCAUUCACUCUGCCCAACUGCAAUUAGUCUAGAGGCCCCAAAGCUAGCUGUUUCUAGCUGGGGCCCACUUGCACCAAAGGCCUUCAUCACAAAAAUAGUAUGGCCAUGAGGUCCCCAGAGAAGUUAUCUGGAGGAGAGCGGCAACAGGAGAAGAGAGAAGAGAACAAAAGCAAGAAAGCUAGCACGGCCACAUGAACAAACAAAACAGGCUCCACAUGUGUUCCUCCUCUCUGACCUCUGUUGCUGCAGUUGACUAGAUGCUUUCGGAGGGUAGAGAGAAGAUGAAUAGGAAAGUGUGGAGGAAGGGCCUGGGAAGAAAUAAGAACAAUCCAUUCAGGGAAAAUUGCUUCCAUGCCUUGGCCCAGCUGAUCUGCUUCAACAAGUCUACUCAACAGUAUAACUGCCUAGGAAUAGGAUUCUGGAAUCUGCUGGAGAAACGACCACCUUCUCUUCCUGCCCCUGUUUGAAUGAUACACAGGAGGGCCAGUGGGACUGUAGAUGGUUGAGAAACAACCACAGGAAAAGGAGAAAAGCCAUGUCAGAAAUGGAAUAGCCCAAGGUACUGACACCAGUUCCCAAGACAUCACAACCUACCCCAAGCACCACUGCCUAUGGAUAGCAAAGGUCUCUGACCGUGUCACCAGGCCCUCAUGGACUAGAGUCCCAUCCUUGAUCAUGCUCACCCCUAAUCUACCACCACUCCCUGCAAUGCCUUCACCAACCCGAGAGCCUAAUACCCUCCCUGACCCAUAGCUAUCUCCUGGUUUAAGUCAUCAGUUCCAAGGUAAUGCAAGAAGGUGUUGCUAUGGAUGGUACUCCAAGCUUCAGGUGUGUUGAGACUAGCAAGAUAGUAGGUAAGGACAGAUGGGGGUGGGGUGCAGAGUGUGCUGGACGAUGAAAAGCUGAGAAAACAAAGAGGAGGAUCCCACAGACAACAGCUCUCAGAACACCUCUAUAUUCACCAUAUCCAAGAAACUAGAUGGUAUAUACAUCUCUUUAGAGGACACCAAAAUGCAAAAUCGAAAUCUUACUUCAUCUGGACCUCACCUUCUGCUGGAAAGCUGGGGAAGGAGUUCCAUAACAUGACACUGAGAAAAAAAGGCAAGAAAAAGCACUCUGAAGCCCAGACCUGGGGGAAGACUGCUGAUUUCUGGCUAUCAUGGUACCGUUCACCAUCAAACCCCUCAGAUUUCAGAUGAAACGAGCAAGACUGCUUCAAAUUGCCAAUCCCAGACAAACAUCUGUUAAUACUGGAUAGCCAAGGAGAAAGGUUCCUUCAGCAUCUCAUCAUCCACUGUCCUCAGUGCACCUAAGACACCAGAGAAGAUAUGUGUGACUCUACUCAGAAAAGCUUAGUAAAGACUUGUUGGUUAAAUCGGCACAAACAAGACAGAGACAGAGUAGAUUAUGAGUUCUAAACUUGGGACAUGGCUCUGUCUUCACUAGGCAAUGGGCCUGCUCUAAGUUUUAGGUUUGGGGCCAGAGUCAAAAGAUCAGUGGAGCAAGGAAGGAAUAUCUAGAGAUUUCCCCAUCCCCAUGGCUCCAGACUUCUAGGAGAAAGAUUCAGGUCAAAAAGCCUUAAACUGUGUCUUCAACUGAUGGUCUAUGUAAGAGGUUCAAAUUUUAAGAAACAUUUACGAAUCUCUACUAUUUACCAAGCCUUGCACUAGCCACGCUAGACACAGUAGCUCAACACACUCACAACUCUGUGACAUCCUUUUUCUGAUCUGUAAGAUCAGAAUCAGGCAAGGUACUUCAUCCCCCCAAGACUUACUCCUACAACUCUGGAGUCACACUGACCCUGUGGGAUUAUGGUCACACACAUCAGACGUGUGACCCUGGGACUUUCGGCUGAACUCUUGGAACCUCAGCUUUCCACAACAGAUGGUUAUAAGGUUGAACUCUUGGAACCUCAGCUUUCCACAACAGAUGGUUAUAAGGUUAAAUGAAAGACCAUAUUGAUAGAAAAAGCUUAGCAUUGGGCCUGGCAUAUAAUAGAUGUUUAAUAAACACAAGUUCGUUCCUUCCCUCCCAUUCCAGAUCCAGUGUUUUUGAGAGCUGUGUUAUGGUCAGGUGAUGAUAACUGGGGCAUAUCUGCUGCCCUGAAUAAGUAAGAGCUUAUCUAUCUCGAGUCCACUCUAAGUGGUCAGAACCUGAGUAGCACUAAACAUAUACCUGUUGACUGACUGGCUCUAUUGGGUGUUGUGGAAGGAGCACAUAGCACUGGGAGCCCAGAGGCCUGGGUGGGAGCUCUGGCUCCUACCCUAGCUUGUUGAAUGGUCUUGACCUCUCUGGGCCUCAGAUUUCUCAUCUGUAAAACAAGCGGAAUAAAUCAUACUUUCUGAUUCUA